AGUGAACGCUGGCGGUAGGCCUAACACAUGCAAGUCGAACGGCAGCACAGUAAGAGCUUGCUCUUACGGGUGGCGAGUGGCGGACGGGUGAGGAAUACAUCGGAAUCUACUUUUUCGUGGGGGAUAACGUGGGGAAACUUACGCUAAUACCGCAUACGACCUACGGGUGAAAGCAGGGGAUCUUCGGACCCUGCGCGAUUGAAUGAGCCGAUGUCGGAUUAGCUAGUUGGCGGGGUAAAGGCCCACCAAGGCGACGAUCCGUAGCUGGUCUGAGAGGAUGAUCAGCCACACUGGAACUGAGACACGGUCCAGACUCCUACGGGAGGCAGCAGUGGGGAAUAUUGGACAAUGGGCGCAAGCCUGAUCCAGCCAUACCGCGUGGGUGAAGAAGGCCUUCGGGUUGUAAAGCCCUUUUGUUGGGAAAGAAAAGCAGCAGGUUAAUACCCCGCUGUUCUGACGGUACCCAAAGAAUAAGCACCGGCUAACUUCGUG
rnacentral:rRNA from 1 species